rnacentral:rRNA from 1 species
UACGUAGGGUGCGAGCGUUGUCCGGAAUUAUUGGGCGUAAAGGGCUCGUAGGCGGUCUGUCACGUCGGGAGUGAAAACUCAGGGCUUAACCCUGAGCCUGCAUUCGAUACGGGCUGACUAGAGGUAUGCAGGGGAGAACGGAAUUCCUGGUGUAGCGGUGAAAUGCGCAGAUAUCAGGAGGAACACCGGUGGCGAAGGCGGUUCUCUGGGCAUUACCUGACGCUGAGGAGCGAAAGCGUGGGGAGCAAACAGG